UUCGGAGCGUCGGAAGUUAAACACAUAAAAAUAAAAUUCUAAAUUUCUAAAUUUUUGAGAAAUAUUUAUUUCGGUUUUUUUUUUCAAUUAGGUUUAAGCAUAAAAGUGAUUAGUUUUUUUUAGUUUUUAAAGUUAAGUAUAAAGUGUACAACAUAAUUAUACUUCUCCAAGAUACACAAGGCUCAAAAAUACUUCUCCAAGAUACACAAGGCUCAAAAAUACUUCUCCAAGAUACACAAGGCUCAAAAAUACUUCUCCAAGAUACACAUCUGUUGAUUGUUUCACAAGAACCGAAAGCCGAGAGUUCAUAUUCAUAAUUACCUGGCCAAAAACAAACUACAAAACGUAUGGCUUUAAUCUUGGUGGCCCAAGAAGAUAGAAUUAUACUUCAUUUGACCGCUUUUCUACACAUACCUACAUAAAUAUGGGCACUCUACGUUCAUAUUUAUAAUUACCCGUCCAAAAAAAAAAACUACAAAACAUACGGCUGUAAGCUGUGGUGGCCCAAGAAGAUUCAAAACUACAUAAAUAUGGGCACUCUACGUGCGCAUUCAUAUUUACCUGGCCAAAAACACACUACGCAAACGUACGACUUUAUACAAUCUGAUGGGUCUGGGGGUUAGAAGUAGUCGCGAAACAAUACUUUGUUUGGGAUUCGGUGGACUAAACAGUCUUUCAGUUAUCGGAAAUGAAAUACUGGGUUAAUCGGGUACAAGUGCUGAUGAGGAAAUCGACGGCAAUACUAUAUUUUGUUACUAAUAAUUAUAUUACUCGUGAUUAUAUUUUGAUACUAAAAUA